rnacentral:rRNA from 1 species
GACGAACGCUGGCGGCGUGCUUAACACAUGCAAGUCGAACGGAAAGGCCCUGCUUGCAGGGUGCUCGAGUGGCGAACGGGUGAGUAACACGUGGGUGAUCUGCCCCUUACUUUGGGAUAAGCCUGGGAAACUGGGUCUAAUACUGGAUAGGACCAUGCUGUAGGUGGUGUGGUGGAAAGAUUUUUUCGGUAAGGGAUGAGCUCGCGGCCUAUCAGCUUGUUGGUGGGGUAAUGGCCUACCAAGGCGUCGACGGGUAGCCGGCCUGAGAGGGUGGACGGCCACAUUGGGACUGGGAUACGGCCCCGACUCCUACGGGAGGCAGCAGUGGGGAAUAUUGCACAAUGGGCGCAAGCCUGAUGCAGCGACGCCGCGUGGGGGAUGGCGGCCUUCGGGUUGUAAACUCCUUUCAGCCAUGACGAAGCCUCUUUUGGGGUGACGGUAGUGGUAGAAGAAGCACCGGCUAACUACGUG